rnacentral:rRNA from 1 species
GAUGAACGCUGGCGGCGUGCCUAACACAUGCAAGUCGAACGGGGCCUGCGCAGCGGAACCCUCCGGGGGGAAGCAGCGCAGUGCCCAGUGGCGGACGGGUGAGUAACGCGUGGGUAACCUGCCCUGUACAGGGGGACAACAGCCGGAAACGGCUGCUAAUACCGCAUAAGCCCGCGGCGCCGCAUGGCGCUGCGGGGAAAACUCCGGUGGUACAGGAUGGGCCCGCGUCUGAUUAGCUAGUUGGCGGGGUAACGGCCCACCAAGGCAGCGAUCAGUAGCCGGCUUGAGAGAGUGGACGGCCACAUUGGGACUGAGACACGGCCCAG